rnacentral:rRNA from 1 species
AGCAGCCGCGGUAAUUCCAGCUCCAAUAGCGUAUAUUAAAGUUGUUGCAGUUAAAAAGCUCGUAGUUGAAUUUCGGGAUUGGCGCAUCGGUCGUGCCUUACGGGGUAUGAACUGGUGCAGUCAAUUUCUCACCUUCUGGAGAACCGCGAUGUCCUUAAUUGGGUGCCGCGGGGAACCAGGACCUUUACUUUGAAAAAAUUAGAGUGUUUAAAGCAGGCAUUUUUGCUUGAAUACAUUAGCAUGGAAUAAUAAAAUAGGACGGCAUGGUUCUAUUUUGUUGGUUUCUAGGACCACCGUAAUGAUUAAUAGGGAUAGUUGGGGGCAUUAGUAUUCAAUUGUCAGAGGUGAAAUUCUUGGAUUUAUUGAAGACUAACUACUGCGAAAGCAUUUGCCAAGGAUGUUUUCAUUAAUCAAGAACGAAAGUUAGGGGAUCGAAGACGAUCAGAUACCGUCGUAGUCUUAACCAUAAACUAUAGCCGACUAGGAAUCAGACGAUGUUAAUUUUUAAUGACUCGUUUGG